ensembl:lncRNA
GUGAGUUCCUUUCUCUUCUCAUAACUCUCAAUUCCACCCUCACAUUUAUGCCGUGCCCGGGCAUCUUUCCGCCACGCUGGAGCAAAGAUCAAAAGUAAAUAUUGGCAGAACAUUGGUUUUACUGUGACCCAGAUAAGGAACAGCCUAAAACGGAAAUAGCGAGAUUUUAUUGUUCCUCCCACAACUUCCCUCCUCACCGGGCUCCCUCAAUAUUUAAUUAUGAACUUCACUUCAUACAAAGUCUUGGUGUUAAUUUGGUUGCCAACAGGGCGGGGCCUGAACAACUCCAGGAGCUCCAGGCUAUAAAUAACCCCAUGAACAGCGCCCCCUGGAGUUGUGCCAUGGCUGCGUACACGUGUCGAUUCAUAUCAUCAUCUCAUUCUCAUUGACGGGGCAGAGGAAUCUUUUUUGCUUCAGCAAAUGUUUCCUGCUUUGUGAAAGAAACAUGAGCACACAGAAAAAUUCAGACAGGGCUCAUGAUAUGCUGUCCAGUCCUCUCUCUCAUGGUGCCCGGCAGGGCAGUGAGCCAUAGCUCCCAGUCGGCGCCACGGUCACUAGAGUGAAGAGCUGAUACACAGACAGCCGUCCUGGACCCAGACGUCCAUCCUGUUCUUCCCCGUCAGCACCGUAUCAAUAGAUCUGGUCACGUGAUGGAUCACAUGCCUGAGCCAGCUGCCAAGGACGCUGGGAAAGUGAGGGCCUGGUCACUGUUGUGAAGAUAGUUUCGAUCCUCAGCGGGUUGAAUCCACAGACGCGGAACCCUCCAUGUAAAGGACCGACUAUGUCAACCUCCUGGGGCACAGAGAGGUUAGGUAACUUCUCCGAGGUCACACAGCUACUGAGGAAGCUGUAUGUAGUUGCUUAUUUAUUUAUCUGGGUGUUUUGUGUUUUUCUCCCAACUCAACCAUCCAUCCAUCCAUCCGGUCAUCUAUCCAUUCAUUUUCCAAACACAUUUCUUUAACGAAAACUAUAUGCCUGGCUGGGCUUUAGACCCCGGGGACACGGAAGUGAUUAUGUUCACUGCUGCAUCCCCAGUGCCCCGUAUGAUGUCUGGCACAUAGUAGUUCAAGUCAGACACGACUGAGCGACUGAUCUGAUCUGAUCUCUAAUUUUCUUGAAGAGAUCUCUAUUCUUUCCCAUUCUGUUGUUUUUCUCUGUUUAUUUGCAUUGAUCGCUAAGGAAGGCUUUCUUAUCUCUUCUUGCUAUUCUUUGGAACUCUGCAUUCAGAUGCUUAUAUCUUUCCUUUUCUCCUUUGCUUUUCGCUUCUCUUCUUUUCACAGCUAUUUGUAAGGCCUCCUCAGACAGCCAUUUUGCUUUUUUGCAUUCCUUUUCCAUGGGGAUGGUGUUGAUCCCUGUCUCCUGUACAGUGUCACGAACCUCAUUCCAUAGUUCAUCAGGCACUCUAUCAGAUCUAGGCCCUUAAAUCUAUUUCUCACUUCCACUGUAUAAUCAUAAGGGAUUUGAUUUAGGUCAUACCUGAAUGGUCUAGUGGUUUUCCCUACUUUCUUCAAUUUAAGUCUGAAUUUGGUAAUAAGGAGUUCAUGGUCUGAGCCACAGUCAGCUCCACGUAGUAGGCACACAAUAAAUACUAUGGAUUGAAUUAACAGGAUCUUGUGCUCGGCCUGUGUGACAACACACGUGUGUAUAAAUAUUGACACUUCUUUCUGUGCCCCAGGGAGAAGGAAACUGCAUAGUUGGCUCUUCUCUGGUUCUCCAUUUUUUUUUCCCAUCUCCACACCUUUGCUAGAGCUCUUCCCUCUGGUGGCUUUGCCUUUCCCAUCGUGUAGAUCAGAGGUUGAUACACUAUGGCCUAGGGGCCAAAUCUGACCCAUCAUCUGUUUCUGUAAAUAAAGUUUUAUUGGAACAUCUCUUUGUUUCUGGAUUAUCCAUGGGCACUUUUGAUCUACAACAGAAGUGAGUAGAUGUGGCAGAGACCUGUGGAUCUAAACACUUAUUAUCUGGCUCUUUAUAGAAAAGGUUUGUUGGCCCCUGAUUCAGCUGAGUUUUCCAUAUCUUUUAAGAAUGAGUUGAAAUGCCUCCUCCUCCAGGAAGCAUUCUGUGAUCUCCAGGCUGGUUUAAGGGUCUUUACUCUGUGUUCCAGUAGUCCCAUCUUUCCUCUAAAACAGGGUUUCUCAGUGUUUCCUAGUUGCCCAUCCUCCAUGAAAUUUUAAUACACAGAUAAUCUGUAUAUCUGUUUCAAUACACAGAUAAUCUAUGUGUCUGCUGCCCUUUGAAGGGCCAUGAACCAUGGUGAUCUCUAAGUAUUUUUUGCCUGUGUUGAGACUACAUGUGAGCACAACUCCUAUUGCUCUGUAUGCAUUCAGUUGAACAGAAUCUAUUGAGCACCUACUAUGUGCCAAGCCCUGCUCUGGGCACAGAGGCCGACAAAAGUAAUAAACACACAGAACCACAUCAAACUAAAAAAAACUUUUGCAGAGCAAAGGAAACCAUCAACAAAAUGAAAAGACAGCCUACUGAAUGUGAGAAGAUAUUUGCAAAUGGUAUAUCUGAUAAGGGGUUAAUAUCACAAAUAUGCAAAGAACUCAUUACAACUCAACAUCAAAAGAGCAAACCUAUUAAAAAAUGGGCAUAGGAUCUGAAUAGACAGUUUUCCAAAGAGGAUGUACAGAUGGUUGGCAGACACAUGAAGAUACUGAACAUCACUAAUCAUCGGGGAAAAGCAAAUGGAAACUACGGUGAGAUUUCACCUCACAUCUGUCAGAGCGCCUGUCGUCAAAAAGACAACAUAGAGCAAGAACUGAGGAUGUGAAGAAAAGGUCAAUGCGCUGCUCGGUUGGUCGGGAUGAAAACUGGCGCAGCCGCUAUGGAGAACAGUAUGGAGCUUCCGCAAAACAUCACAGGUA